GACGAACGCUGGCGGCGUGCCUAAUACAUGCAAGUCGAACGCAGUGGGGACGGGUGAGUAACACGUGGGUAACCUCCCAUCAGAGGGGAUAACACUUGGAAACAGGUGCUAAACCGAUAUUGAUUGAUGGACCCGCGGUGCAUUAGCUAGGUGGUGGGGUAACGGCUCACCAAGGCCACGAUGCAUAGCCGACCUGAGAGGAGGAUCGGCCACACUGGGACUGAGACACGGCCCAGACUCCUACGGGAGGCAGCAGUAGGGAAUCUUCGGCAAUGGACGAAAGUCUGACCGAGCAACGCCGCGUGAGUGAAGAAGGUUUUCGGAUCGUAAAGCACUGUUGGCAGAGAAGCGGUAUCUAAAGAGAAAGCCACGGCUAACUACGUGCCAGCAGCCGCGGUAAUUC
rnacentral:rRNA from 1 species